GACGAACGCUGGCGGCGUGCUUAACACAUGCAAGUCGAACGGAAAGGCCCUGCUUUUGUGGGGUGCUCGAGUGGCGAACGGGUGAGUAACACGUGAGUAACCUGCCCUUGACUUUGGGAUAACUUCAGGAAACUGGGGCUAAUACCGGAUAGGAGCUCCUGCUGCAUGGUGGGGGUUGGAAAGUUUCGGCGGUUGGGGAUGGACUCGCGGCUUAUCAGCUUGUUGGUGGGGUAGUGGCUUACCAAGGCUUUGACGGGUAGCCGGCCUGAGAGGGUGACCGGCCAAAUUGGGACUGAGAUACGGCCCAGACGCCAACGGGAGGCAGCAGUGGGGAAUAUUGCACAAUGGGCGGAAGCCUGAUGCAGCAACGCCGCGGGCGGGAUGACGGCCUUCGGGUUGUAAACCGCUUUCGCCUGUGACGAAGAGUGAGUGACGGUAAUGGGUAAAGAAGCACCGGCUAACUACGUG
rnacentral:rRNA from 1 species